UAUGGUCAAGAAAGACAAAGGCACCCUUGGAAGGCAAAUAUCCCAUGACCACUUAUAUAACAAUUGAGCACAACAUCUAACCAAUCCUACACGCCGCUUCUCAUUCCGAUUAUGGACUGAAUAAUAAACAUCCCCAAUCAAGGUAGGAAUAGGAUUCUUCUGAACAAACACCCGGAUGGCAUUAAUGUCCACAAAAUUCUCUUGAUUAGGGAACAAAAUAAUUCCAUAAAUGCUUACGACAAGAAAAGCACAAAC
rnacentral:lncRNA from 1 species